rnacentral:lncRNA from 1 species
AUCAAAAUUUUAAGAUUAUUUGUAUUAAUCAAAACAUAUAAGAUAUCCGUAAAUAUUCGUAAAUAUCCGUAAAUAUCUAUUUAUUUACAGAAUAUCUGUUUUUCCGAAUAUCCGUAUUUUUCCGAAGCAAAGCAAAUCAAAAAAUUAGAUAUAUAUGACAUACGAAUCAAAUCAUAAAUACCUUCAAAACCCCGGAUAUCCGAUCCGUGCCUAGCCCUACCCAUAAACGUACCAUCUUUUUU